rnacentral:rRNA from 1 species
UACAGAGGGUGCGAGCGUUGUUCGGAAUUAUUGGGCGUAAAGGGCGCGUAGGCGGUGCGGUAAGUCACCUGUGAAAUCUCCUGGCUCAACUGGGAGCUUGCAGGCGAAACUGCCGUGCUGGAGUGUGGGAGAGGUGCGUGGAAUUCCUGGUGUAGCGGUGAAAUUCGUAGAUAUUGGGAAGAACACCGGUGGCGAAGGCGGCUAUCUGGACCGUAACUGACGCUGAGGCGCGAAAGCGUGGGGAGCAAACAGG